rnacentral:rRNA from 1 species
GAUGAACGCUGGCGGCGUGCCUAAUACAUGCAAGUCGAGCGAACGGACGAGAAGCUUGCUUCUCUGAUGUUAGCGGCGGACGGGUGAGUAACACGUGGAUAACCUACCUAUAAGACUGGGAUAACUUCGGGAAACCGGAGCUAAUACCGGAUAAUAUUUUGCACCGCAUGGUUCAAAAGUGAAAGACGGUCUUGCUGUCACUUAUAGAUGGAUCCGCGCUGCAUUAGCUAGUUGGUAAGGUAACGGCUUACCAAGGCAACGAUGCAUAGCCGACCUGAGAGAGUGAUAGGCCACACUGGAACGGGAACACGGUCAAGACUCCUACGGGAGGCAGCAGUAGGGAAUCUUACGCAAUGGGCGAAAGCCUGACGGAGCAACGCCGCGUGAGUGAUGAAGGUCUUCGGAUCGUAAAACUCUGUUAUUAGGGAAGAACAUAUGUGUAAGUAACUGUGCACAUCGUGACGGUACCUAAUCAGAAAGCCACGGCUAACUACGUG